CAUUCCGGCGAGUUCGUGCACGCAGUUUGCUUGAGAGUUUCCUGCGUUUUCUGAGUUCUUUGUGUGCUUCGCUGUGACAUCUUUGGAAUAUUCCUGCGUGUUGCUCGCUUUUUAUGGACUUGUUGCCUCGAAGAUCGCCAUGAUCGCCUCCGACUCAGCGACAUCAAGGAUUCAAAAUGAGCUGGGAGAGGCCCCAGCUGGAACGGUUCACAUAGGUUGAAGGAGUGCACAUUGAGAAGGUUAUCCUGGCACAGUUUACCAUGGCCUGCCAUGGUGGACCAGGAAAGUUUGCAAGGGCCUUGCUUCACCAUGUGUUCACAGAGGAGGAGCUCAUGGGCCAUUUGGGCUUCGGAAAUAACACCAAGGGGCAAAAAAGGUCUUGACCCCACCAGGGUCAGUGCUGUUAUAGGCAAGUACCAUAUAUCCUUUCUGGUUGCAUUUUUACAUUCACAUUUUUUUCUAAAAUUAUGAACUUGCCAUUGGCAUAACAAACGACUUUCAAGUAGCCCGUGUG